rnacentral:rRNA from 1 species
CAGCAGCCACGGUAAUACGUAGGGCGCAAGCGUUAUCCGGAAUUAUUGGGCGUAAAGAGCUCGUAGGCGGUUUGUCGCGUCUGCCGUGAAAGUCCGGGGCUCAACCCCGGAUCUGCGGUGGGUACGGGCAGACUAGAGUGAUGUAGGGGAGACUGGAAUCCCUGGUGUAGCGGUGAAAUGCGCAGAUAUCAGGAGGAACACCGAUGGCGAAGGCAGGUCUCUGGGCAUUAACUGACGCUGAGGAGCGAAAGCAUGGGGAGCGAACAGGAUUAGAGACCUUGGUAGUCCCUGUCUCUUAUAC